AACCGGAUUAGAUACCCUGGUAGUCCACGCUGUAAACGAUGUCGAUUUGGAGGUUGUGCCCUUGAGGCGUGGCUUCCGGAGCUAACGCGUUAAAUCGACCGCCUGGGGAGUACGGCCGCAAGGUUAAAACUCAAAUGAAUUGACGGGGGCCCGCACAAGCGGUGGAGCAUGUGGUUUAAUUCGAUGCAACGCGAAGAACCUUACCUACUCUUGACAUCCAGAGAACUUUCCAGAGAUGGAUUGGUGCCUUCGGGAACUCUGAGACAGGUGCUGCAUGGCUGUCGUCAGCUCGUGUUGUGAAAUGUUGGGUUAAGUCCCGCAACGAGCGCAACCCUUAUCCUUUGUUGCCAGCGGUUCGGCCGGGAACUCAAAGGAGACUGCCAGUGAUAAACUGGAGGAAGGUGGGGAUGACGUCAAGUCAUCAUGGCCCUUACGAGUAGGGCUACACACGUGCUACAAUGGCGUAUACAAAGAGAAGCGACCUCGCGAGAGCAAGCGGACCUCAUAAAGUACGUCGUAGUCCGGAUUGGGGUCUGCAACUCGACUCCAUGAAGUCGGAAUCGCUAGUAAUCGUAGAUCAGAAUGCUACGGUGAAUACGUUCCCGGGCCUUGUACACACCGCCCGUCACACCAUGGGAGUGGGUUGCAAAAGAAGUAAGUAGCUUUAACCUUCGGGAGGGCGCUUACCACUUUGUGAUUCAUGACUGGGGUGAAGUCGUAACAAGGUA
rnacentral:rRNA from 1 species